CACGUAGGGCGCAAGCGUUGUCCGGAAUUAUUGGGCGUAAAGAGCGUGUAGGCGGCCAGGUAGGUCUGCUGUGAAAACUCGAGGCUCAACCUCGAGACGUCGGCGGAAACCAUCUGGCUAGAGUCCGGAAGAGGAGAGUGGAAUUCCUGGUGUAGCGGUGAAAUGCGCAGAUAUCAGGAAGAACACCCGUGGCGAAAGCGGCUCUCUGGAACGGUACUGACGCUGAGACGCGAAAGCGUGGGGAGCGAACAGG
rnacentral:rRNA from 1 species